CAGCCACACACGCUGGAAGGGGAUCGAUGAACAGAAAUAUAAUCUGGCUUUGCCAUGGCUCUCUUCCUCCUCCAACUCUGCCUCCCCUAAUUUCUAUUUCUCUAAUCCUAGUCUCAUGCUUCUGCCUUCUCUAUGUUGCUCUUCCCAAUCCCUGAUUCUACUCUCUUGAUUGUAUCCCUGGGCACUUGUAUUCUUGAGUGGAUUUGCAAUAUAUUGGUGGCACUGUGUGUGAGAGAUUUGGUGUGAUUGUGUUGGUUCGUGACAGAUCGGGGCGACGUGGGGGUGGGAGGAGAGAGCGCCGCCCAACCCGAGACGGUGGAGGACGCCGGCGGCGAGGGCAUCAUGGCGGGCGCCGCCGCCGCCGCCGCCAAGGGUUCCAGAUAUAAGCUGCAUGGCAAGAAGAGCAAAGUUGACAAUCAACCUCAAAUUAAGGAAAUCCACGAUAAAUGUGGAACAAUUAAUACAUGUAAGACUAAGGCAGAUACUAAACUUCAUGGGGGGAAAAACUGCAUAUAUCAAGAAGUUUGAUGGAACGGUGGGAGUGCCAAUAUUGAGAUCCAAAAGGGUUCCACCAUCAGAGGUAUGCUUUGAUUAUUGAUUGAAUUAUAUUGUGGAAAACCAAUGUUAGAAACUUAAAAGGCUCCAUGACAUAAUAUUUAUUUUGAUUGGCUGAUAGGACUAAAUGGCCAAGACAAUAUUUUUGAAUUUCAAAACUUUUACAUCCUUGAUCCUGGAUGUAUCGAAUACACCAUGCGAAGGUAGAUGGUCAAAGUUGUGCCUAACUGCCUAUGACCCCUCGCUGGUAACCUCAAUGCACUUUCAGUAAUUUUACUGUACAAAAUGAAGUGAAUAUCUUUUGCUUAACUUAUAGCAUACUCCCUCUGUCAAAAAAAAAAAAUCAACCUGACAAUGUAUCUGGACAUAGGGUAUGUUCAGAUACAUUGUCCUAUAAGAGGUUACAUCCCUUUAUAGGUUGAUUAUUUUUUUGGGACGGAGGGAGUAUAUGGUAUCUCUAAGAGUAGCUAGUUUAUCAUUGACGUUUAUGCCUUACGUACCAGUGCUUUUUUACUGCCUCUUACAGAGAGCAGUGCGCAUCAACUGUAUUUGUCCCUUUUUGCUGACCUUUGGCACUCUUUGGUGUUCUACUUGAGGGAUGCAGUUAGCAUGAUACUCCUGAUAUAAGGAGGAUUCAGAUGCGAUGGAGUCGUAAUACAUCAAGAGAAUCGUUUGUUGUCCUUGUGGCAGAAUUCGCAAGUCAAGGCUAACCAUAUAAUGCUUAUUUGUUCUGGUUUUUAAGAGCCUGUUCUUUAUGGUGCAAACUUCAAAAAAAAAAAAAAAAAAAAAAAACUUUGCCUCAAAAAGAACUUCAGAAAAUGCAUCUCCAACUUCAAUGGUCAAGCUAAGAAGCUAGGAGCUAGAGGUUGGAGCCGUGCCAAAGAGUCCUAACUUUCGUUGGGCCUGGCUUAUGAUACAAGAUUAACAUGAUUUUAUCUGGUUCAUUUAUUUGAUGUAUUUUUUGGUGUGGUUCUUGUUGGAAAAAGAGAUGAACCGCAGAGUGCCUUGUUCUCUCGCAGUACUUUGUGGUAGCUGAGAACAGUACUGAGUACGACUGCUGAUUACUUAAUUGGAUGCUGACAGCACUUGGUUAUUCUCUUGGUUUGCACUAAUAUGAAUGUUUUUCUUUGGACGUUUUUGGGCAGAUGAUGGACAUUGGUGGUGAAGGAGAUCCGUAGGUGCAAGAUGAGGACCAUAUGAAUUUGGUGAGACAGUUUUAGCUUUAUCAUCUUAGCAUCAGUCAAGUCUACAGAGUGGAGUUGAGGUGGUGAUUGAUGUUUGACCAUCAAGCAGGUGGUGCUUUUCGCAACUUCACCUGACCUUUUUUUUUUGUCCAAUUGCUGAGUGAAAACAUAUGUGAUGUCUCAAGUCUCUCUACCAAUGCCAGCUUUCAAUCCAGAACUUGAACAUGAAUUGCAAAACUGUAAAUGAAUUUGCUAGGAAUUUACCAUUUCAAGAAAUCUUGGAGUA